rnacentral:lncRNA from 1 species
CAAAAACGGGGACUUACUAUUCUUCUACAAUAACCAGAUGCUUCCGCUAAGUUACGAACUUAAAUACAUACAUGCAUAUGCUUUAUAGAAAUGAAUUAUUGAUAGACAAUCAGCAAGUAAAAUUUUACAUUUGUGUUCAUUCAUCAUUGACAAUAAAUAAUUUAGCUAUAGCAAUACUUGAAUAUUGAUGCCAACAUGUGUCAGCUGUCAUAUACGGAGGUCAGUAUUUUAUUCGAUUUUUAACCAUCAAACCAAAUCGACGAAUCUCGUAACUUUAUUCUAUCCCGAAUUUGAGCUGAAGUUUUCAAAAGAUAACUCUCAUACGAGACAAAAAUAAACUAAACAACUACGCAGUCCUCGGAUCAGACCAUGACACUGGUUCGAGUCGCGGGUGAAAAUCAGAGUAGUCGAACUUUCGUAAAUACUUAAACCGACAAAUUCUUGCAGCGAGUUGCAAAAAUAAGGUAUGAUUUCGGGACAAGAUCAGCACGCGCGGCAACAAGUGCACAAAAAUAAUAUCCCGAGGAGAUGAGUCACAAUUAGAGGGAAACACCGAUUAGUCGCCUAAUAAUACCAACAGUGAUCCGUUCGCAUCUCGACAUACUCUAUAAAUUAGCGGCACUCAUACUUUAUUGGCUAGUUGGCUAACUCUGCAACAUUUUCGCACACUAUUUUCAGUGUCUUCAGUCUUGUGUUUCCCAAAUCGUUUAAGUGUCCACCGCGGAAUCAUGCGUUGCUUUAUUUUGCUGACUGUGUGCUGUGCCACCGCUUAUUGUGCCAGCAUUGCCCCGAAAGAUGCUGAGAGCAAAACCCCCAGCCCGACGGUUGUGGAAGAUAAGAAAACCACCGAGUCCGAGACACCCGAAAAAGCCGGAAAGCCAGUCCCUCUUCCUGCGGACAAAAUUGCCGAGCUGAUCAGCAGGACGCACCAGAACAAGAAGACUAACGCCCCGGAAAAAUCUGGUGAUGCCCCCGCGAAGAACAAGUCAAGCAGUGUCUCAAGCCAGCAGGGUAAGAAGACAGUCGAAGCCCACGCUGAGAAAGAGAGCAGCGUUGAAGUAGAGGGAAAGAAAACAACCUCCCAGAACCGUCCUUCCAAAGUUGGGGGAGCACAGGCGAACCAACGGACCCAGAUGAAGAAGGAAGCGAAAUCCGAGGAGGUAACCACCCGUGCCCAAAAGAAGGAGUCGACUUCUAAAGCCCCAGCCCAAGCGAAAGAAUCUGCAUAAUUGCUGGAGGGAUGAAGCAAGACAGAAUCAACUCUUUGGUUGAGUCCUCAAAAUGUUCCGAAAAUUAGCUUUUAAAAUGUUUGGAAAUUUGUCCGAAUCAUUCUCGUGAAUUUCUCAAUGGACGAUGAUGAUACAAGGAAAUUUUGACUGGUAGAGUACUGGCGGAUGGAGCUUAAUAGACCUCUGGCCAAUUGGAUUCUACGAAAAAAUAUGAAGAAAGUAGAAGGGUAACAACUUCCGCUCUUGAGAAACUAUCUUUAUGCCCUCGUUACAAGGCCAAAUUUGAAAGAUGUUUUUGCUUUGUUUACACGCGCAAACUUGUCCCGAACUUUGAUGACGUAAUUCAGCGGAAAAAGUAUAGCCAGUUUGGCGAACUGCUUUUAACUAUAAGUUGAGCCUGAUUCCACGAAACAAAAAUUAUAUUUUCCUUUGACUGUAUACAAGUUAGCACAGAGUGCUGUUUAUUUUAUAAAGUUAGCACAGAGUUACUUCAUGUAGUUUGACAAAAGUUCGCCUUGGUAAACGAUGCGGAAUAUGUAAGUAGUAAUAUUAUACCUUUUAGACUGUUGUUAUUUUUGUACAGGUCUUAGAUACGGUGUGUUUUUAGUGAUCAAUAUCCAGCCUCUCAGUGUGAAAGGUUUGUUCAUACUUUAUUGUAAGAGAAAGGAACUUGGCAAGUCAAAAAAAUAAAAAAUAAAAAAUAAAAAAAAUAAAGAACGAUUUUAUGAGAACUCAACCCAUUCAUUUCAAUAUUAAUCCCCGAAAGGUAUUAUAAAAUAACAUUUUAAAUAGUUUUUUAUAAAGCGACUUUAACAUCGAAGUACAGGUAAAAUUUUCCAAAAAAAUGCCUGCCGGUCGCACAUGCAAUUUUACACUACACUUUCAAAAAGAAUCCGUAGACAUUGAUCAACCCGCCGGCCAUUAGGAGCCUAGGGGGAGGCAAUAGGCAUCAAUCAGGAAUAGACUGCAUCUUGCAAUAAAGAGCUAUAUUAAGUCUGACUGGACCAUAAAAUAACGUAUUUUCAUAGAGUUACUAAUGACACGUAUGUUGUUUAUCAAGGGAGCAAAACAUACUAGUUUUUUCACCCUUAAAGAUAGUA